rnacentral:misc_RNA from 1 species
UCAACCCUCAAGCUUAGCUUGUUGUUGGAACUGUUGUACAAAUCAACAAUCCCAAAGACAAUGGCGGUGUCUUUUGACCCUUGAUGCAACGAGCUUUCAAUAGCACGCAUCUAAAGAGGUUGAUUGAUACUAGACCUUUUAUCAUUUCUCAA